rnacentral:misc_RNA from 1 species
GGAAUCUUCCGCAAUGGGCGAAAGCCUGACGGAGCAACGCCGCGUGAGUGAUGAAGGUUUUCGGAUCGUAAAGCUCUGUUGCCAAGGAAGAACGUCUUCUAGAGUAACUGCUAGGAGAGUGACGGUACUUGAGAAGAAAGCCCCGGCUAACUACGUGCCAGCAGCCGCGGUAAUACGUAGGGGGCAAGCGUUGUCCGGAAUUAUUGGGCGUAAAGCGCGCGCAGGCGGUUCUUUAAGUCUGGUGUUUAAACCCGAGGCUCAACUUCGGGUCGCACUGGAAACUGGGGGACUUGAGUGCAGAAGAGGCGAGUGGAAUUCCACGUGUAGCGGUGAAAUGCGUAGAUAUGUGGAGGAACACCAGUGGCGAAGGCGACUCUCUGGGCUGUAACUGACGCUGAGGCGCGAAAGCGUGGGGAGCAAACAGGA